rnacentral:lncRNA from 13 species
CUAUGUAUAAAUACGCGAUAAGAAAACUGGAAGAAGUAAAUAGUUAUCUUCAUAUGUAAGUGAGUGCUCAAUGAGAAAACAUCAUUUUGUCAGAACGAUAAUAAUAAAAUUCGUCAUAAAUAAAUUUUAAAUUUUCAAUGAUACAUACAAUCUAAAGCUGAAAAAACACAAAACUGAAUCCAAUUGGAACAACAAUUACGAUAAAAAUGUUUAUUACCAUAUUAUUAUUUAUUCUUGUUGCAUAUUUGGUGUUUCAUUGUUACUUUCAUUAUGGACAAAAAGGACGAUUAAUCAAUAAAUUACCAGGCCCAGGUUAUCCAAUAAUUGGUACUUUAUUGGACUUCCUACAUCCAGUAGGUACGUUAAAGUUUUUAAUAUAUUAUUAUUAAAUUAAAUAAUUCUAAAACGUACAAUUAUUAAUAUUAUAUUACUUCCAAUAUUAUACACUCGUCAACAAAAAUAGAGAACACUUUUAAAACGAUCCAAAUUACAUAACAUUCAGACGCUGUAACUCCG